rnacentral:rRNA from 1 species
GAAGGGGGCUAGCGUUGCUCGGAAUUACUGGGCGUAAAGGGAGCGUAGGCGGACUGUUAAGUUAGAGGUGAAAGCCCAGGGCUCAACCUUGGAAUUGCCUUUGAUACUGGCAGUCUUGAGUACGGAAGAGGUAUGUGGAACUCCGAGUGUAGAGGUGAAAUUCGUAGAUAUUCGGAAGAACACCAGUGGCGAAGGCGACAUACUGGUCCGUUACUGACGCUGAGGCUCGAAAGCGUGGGGAGCAAACAGGAUUAGAUACCCUGGUAGUCCACGCCGUAAACGAUGAGUGCUAGUUGUCGGCAUGCAUGCAUGUCGGUGACGCAGCUAACGCAUUAAGCACUCCGCCUGGGAGUACGGUCGCAAGAUUAA